rnacentral:tRNA from 1 species
AAUAGAAUGGCUGAUUUAGGUGGUAAAUUGUAAAUUUAUUUAAGGGAUUUUCUCUUCUAUUA